CAGACUUGAUAACCACUAUGCCUGAUCGGGGAGGAAGUAGGAAAGGGUUCAUUAAGACGUGCUGACAAGGUCUUUCUAAAGCAGACAGUGCUGUUACCCAUUUACAUGAAAAGGAGACAGGAACGUCUCCUAAGUUUUUCGUGAAAGUGCCUGUCAGACCGAAGGAAUGAUCACACUGAGAUACUUACAGGCUUUUUGAGAGUUCUCGGACUAGAAGUGAGUCACUCCCCACCAGUUUCCCUGCGUCCUCCAGCCCCUCACCUUCUGCCAUGAGCGCAGUCUACAUUCUUUCUGUGAAAAUUAUGUUAAAAUGAUUGCAUUACGUGAGCUAAAUCCCUUUGUAGUUCUACUGUAUUCACAGUGUCUUUGUGGCUCAAUCUUAAGCCUCAA